AUAGAGUAGCAGCUAAACAGCAGGACCACCACCCAACGGCGCUUGCUCACCUUGAUCACACUAAGGUCCUCGGGGCACGAGCUACUGGGGCUCCACGCCCAACAUGAAGCUCAAAUUCACCACGCUGAGGUCAGGAGUCACAUGCUCUACCACGGAGCCAGCCAGGCGCCUCUGGAGGCUACAUUUUAGAAGCUCUCCAGGUACGCUUUGAAGGGGAAGAAGAAAUACAUUUUAGACAUUGCUUCCUGGAAGGAAGGCCUGGCUCCUGGUUCUCUCCCAGCUUGAGGAAAUCUCUGGCCUUGAACUCUCUAGCUCUCCCGGCCCUCUGCAGAAUAGUAGCAAAGUCUGCCCCCUAGAGGCUGACAACUACUCCUGGCAAUAAAAAUGGUCCUUGAAGUCAAAUGUCCCACAGGUUCAGGAGGGGCUGUGGAUGCGCCAGGCGUGGUUUGUUGAGUGUAGGAAGGCUGAAAUUCUAGUGAAAUGAAUCAGAUUGAGACUCUGGAUUAGUCCCUCUUAAAAAAAUACCGACACUUGGGACGCCUGGGUGGCUCAGUCGGUUGAGCGUCCUUCUCUUGAUUUUGGCUCAGGUCAUGAUUUCGUGGUUUGUGAAAUCGAGUGUGGAUUGGGGCUCUGUCUGGGCUGACAGCACAGAUCUUGCCUGGGAUCUCUCCCUCUCUUUCUGUCCCACCCCCGCUCAUGCUCGUUCUCUCGCUCUCUCUCUCUCUCUCUCCCUCUCUCAAAAUGAAUGUGAAAAAGAGAAAAAUACCUACACUUGGAAUUUGUGAAAAUGUUGCUUUUAUAAAUCUUAUACGUGCAAUAAUGCAUCCCCAUCAAUGUCCUGUUUUACCUUAUCUCCCACACUCCCAUUCAUUCCCAGCUCCUUAAGAACGUGUGUAUAUCUUUGUGAGCCUUUAGUGGGAGAAUUUACACAGCACAUGCUCUCAAUACUUGUUGGUAGAAUAGAGCUGAAUUACACAUUACUAUGAAAUCUCAGAAAAGUGGGACAAAGAGAGCUCCAAGACGUUUUCAGAGAUUUAAAAAAAACAAACAGGUUUUAUACACUGUUUUCCAAAAAAGCAGAUAUAGAAUUCCCUCAGAGUUAUCAAGCCUGGAAACCAGAAGUCAGUGGAAUAAUGCCUUCUGAAGGAAAAUCGUUUCCUGCCUAGAAUUCUGUAUCCAAAACUACCAAAAGAAAACAAGUAUGAUAAGAGAACUGGGCAUUUCUCAGACAUGCAGAGUUUUCCUCUCUCUCAGGAAGCUGCUAAAGGAGGUGCUCCACCAAAAGAAGGGAGGGAGCCUGGAGAGUAAGAUGUCAGAUAAAAGAAAUGGGGACUCUUGGGGCGCCUGGGUGGCUCAGUCAGUCGAGAGCAUCUGACUUCGGCUCAGGUCAUGAUCUCACAGCUCGUGAGUUCCAGGCCCACGUCGGGCUCUGUGCUGACAGCUCAGAGCCUGGAGCCUGCUUUGGAUUCUGGGUCUCACUCUAUUUCUGCCCCUUCUCUGCUCAUGCUCUCUCUCCUUCAAAAAUGAAUAAACAUUAAAAGAAAGAAAGAAAAAAAAAAGAAAUGGGGACUCUAACACAAGAGGGAGACAAUAGGAAUCACCAAGAUCAUGAUAAAAGAAAACCCCAGGUGGACCGUCACGUGCCAGGCAUAGAAAGCACCUGUGCAGACUGAAGCUUGUCAAAAAACUCCAGGAAAUAUUUAUUCAAGAUGACACUGAUAGGAUCAUGUUUGAAACUAUUGAGCAGGGGUUUACACAAUCGGGGGUGAUUGGGGGGGACUAGAGAUGGGACUAGUGAUAAGUACCACAAAUAUAACUAGAGAAAUGGUGGGGGCAAUUAUUAAUUCCAGUGAAAUAUAAAAAGCUAU